rnacentral:tRNA from 1 species
CAGCAAGUAGUUUAUUUAAAAUGUUAGUUUUGGGUACUGAUGAUGGAGCUAUGUUCUCUCUUGCUGA